rnacentral:lncRNA from 1 species
AUUCUUAGAUAAUGAAGCUGUGGCAGUAGGAAUGUAUGUGAGGCAACCUGCCAGGGUAAUGAGAUGAAGAAACAAAUAAAAUGUAAAGGCUACAGAAUGAAGAAGCAAUACUGUCUGUGCCUGUAAACCCCCGUCACCUGAUGGAAUGGAUGUCUGCCCUAUAUCUCAGGGCUUUGUUAUAAACUCAAAUGAAAGGAUAUUUAUGAAAGAACAGUAUGAACUAAACUACAAACACAAGAACGCUGAAUCUCCCGGACUGGCCCUCUGGACUCGAAUAUCAGCACUUGGGGAUGAAUGAAGAAGGUGCAUCAUUUCCAGGGAAGCAGAUUUGCUGUUGACUAAUAAAGACCAUUUACUUGGAGUGGGGCCAACAAAAGCCUAAUUGUCUUUUGUAGCCUGUUUCUGUUUUGUGUUCCAUUUCCGCAAAUAAUAUUUAAAUAGACAUUUAAAAUUAAUUCUAAUGGGCUAUCUCAUAAAAUUAUCUGAAUAACUAAUAUAAAAGAUUCAGGGCCAGGUGAAGUGGCUCAGGCCUGUAAUCCCAGAACUUUGGGAAGCCAAGGCAGGAGGAUCACUUGAGCUCAGUCUGGGUAACAUAGUGAGACCCCAACUUUACAAAAUAUCAAAAAUUUAGCCGGGCGUGGUGGUGCUUGCCUGUAGUCCUAGCUGCUCGGGAGGCUGAGGCGACAGGGUUGCUUGAGUUCAGGAGGUCAAGGCUGCAGUAAGCCAUGAUCAUACCACUACACUCCAGCCUGGGUAACAGAGUGAGACUCUGUCUCAAAAUUAAAAAAAUAUUCAGCCUACAGGAACAAAAAAUAGAAUGGGGAUCAAACAGUUUUAGAACAUGAAAGGAAAUGAUUUUUUUGGACAGUUGCAGAGCCUGUAUGAGAGUCCUAAUGGUGAGGGGUGGGGUGAGGAGUUACUAAAAUGC